AGAGUUUGAUCAUGGCUCAGGACGAACGCUGGCGGCGUGCCUAACACAUGCAAGUCGAACGAGAUAUGUUACUUCACUAAUAGCUUAAACAAUCGCAUUAAGCACGAAGUGCUUCACGCGAAAAAAAAGCUUGUCAAUACAAGUAGUUUGAGAAAUUAGUGAAGUGACAUAUCUAGUGGCGGACGGGUGAGUAACGCGUGAACAAUCUGCCCUAUACAAAGGAAUAGCCUCGGGAAACUGGGAUUAAAACCGUAUAACACUUACAUAUCGCAUGAUGAGUAAGUCAAAUUGAUUAAGAGGUAUAGGAUGAGUUCGCGUCUGAUUAGCUAGUUGGUAGGGUAAUGGCUUACCAAGGCGACGAUCAGUAGCCGGCCUGAGAGGGUGAACGGCCACACUGGAACUGAGACACGGUCCAGACUCCUACGGGAGGCAGCAGUGGGGAAUAUUGCACAAUGGGCGAAAGCCUGAUGCAGCGACGCCGCGGGAAAUGAAGAAGGGUCUUCGGAUCGUAAAACUCUGUCCCUUGGUGAAGAANAAAAAUGACGGUAGCCCAAGGAGGAAGCCCCGGGCUAACUACGUGCAAGCAGCCGCGGUAAUACGUAGGGGGGCGAGCGGUGUCCGGAUUACUGGGCGUAAAG
rnacentral:rRNA from 1 species